UACGUAGGGUGCAAGCGUUAAUCGGAAUUACUGGGCGUAAAGCGUGCGCAGGCGGUUAUGUAAGACAGUUGUGAAAUCCCCGGGCUCAACCUGGGAACUGCAUCUGUGACUGCAUAGCUAGAGUCCGGAAGAGGAGAGUGGAAUUCCCGGUGUAGCGGUGAAAUUCGUAGAUAUCGAGAGGAACACCGGUGGCGAAGGCGGCGAUCUGGACGAUGACUGACGCUGAGACGCGAAAGCGUGGGGAGCAAACAGG
rnacentral:rRNA from 1 species